GGGGAUUUAGCUCAGUGGUAGAGCGCUUGCCUAGCAAGCGUGAAGGCCCUGGGUUCAGUCCUCA
rnacentral:tRNA from 1 species